rnacentral:rRNA from 1 species
UGGCGGACGGGUGAUAACGGCGUGGGUAACCUGCCUUAUACAGGGGGAUAACACUUAGAAAUAGGUGCCAAAACCGCAUAAGCGCACAGCUUCGCAUGAAGCGGUGUGAAAAACUCCGGUGGUGUAAGAUGGACCCGCGUCUGAUUAGCUUGUUGGCGGGGUAACGGCCCACCAAGGCGACGAUCAGUAGCCGGCCUGAGAGGGCGGACGGCCACAUUGGGACUGAGACACGGCCCAGACUCCUACGGAAGGCAGCAG